rnacentral:misc_RNA from 1 species
AACGAAGCGAAAGGAGGUGAUCCGAUGUCGAGUGGUUUUCCUAUGCCGGCCGGGUCCAUGGAUACGACGAUGGUGAAGGGGCAGCCUUCUUCUCGCAUCUGACGAUCUGAUGCGCCCUGCCUCAGGGUCCGCAUCGGACCUGCCGGCGUGGCUUUGAUCACGGAAAGGCCGCUCUCCCCGGAGAGCGGCCUU